CCAAGGAGUCUAACAUGUGCGCGAGUCACUCGGUCUUGAAUAGGCCAGAGAGGCGCAAUGAAAGUAAAGUUGAUUGAGUUACGAUCCUCACGCAGUUAUCCUUGUGGUAACGGUGGGGCGCAGUAACAGCCCGCCAAUUUCGCUUAUUGACGAUCUGGCGGAGUUGUAGCGUACACGUUGGUACCCGAAAGAUGGUGAACUAUGCCUGGGCAAGACGAAGCCAGAGGAAACUCUGGUGGAGGUCUGUAGCGAUUCUGACGUGCAAAUCGAUCGUCAGACCUGGGUAUAGGGGCGAAAGACUAAUCGAACCAUC
rnacentral:rRNA from 1 species